GAUGAACGCUGGCUACAGGCUUAACACAUGCAAGUCGUGGGGAAACGGCAUUAUGUGCUUGCACAUUCUGGACGUCGACCGGCGCACGGGUGAGUAUCGCGUAUCCAACCUGCCCCUUACUUGGGGAUACCCCGUUGAAAGACGGCCUAAUACCCGAUGUGUUUCAUUGACGGCAUCCGAUAUGAAACAAAGGUUUUUCCGGUAAGGGAUGGGGAUGCGUCUGAUUAGCUUGUUGGCGGGGCAACGGCCCACCAAGGCGACGAUCAGUAGGGGUUCUGAGAGGAAGGUCCCCCACAUUGGAACUGAGACACGGUCCAAACUCCUACGGGAGGCAGCAGUGAGGAAUAUUGGUCAAUGGACGCAAGUCUGAACCAGCCAAGUAGCGUGCAGGAUGACGGCCCUAUGGGUUGUAAACUGCUUUUAUGUGGGAAUAAAUUGGCGCACGUGUGCGCCAUUGCAUGUACCUCAUGAAUAAGGACCGGCUAAUUCCGUGCCAGCAGCCGCGGUAAUACGGAAGGUCCGGGCGUUAUCCGGAUUUAUUGGGUUUAAAGGGAGUGUAGGCGGUCUGUUAAGCGUGUUGUGAAAUUUAGGUGCUCAACAUUUAACUUGCAGCGCGAACUGUCAGACUUGAGUACACGCAGCGCAGGCGGAAUUCAUGGUGUAGCGGUGAAAUGCUUAGAUAUCAUGAGGAACUCCGAUCGCGAAGGCAGCCUGCGGGAGUGUUACUGACGCUUAAGCUCGAAGGUGCGGGUAUCGAACAGG
rnacentral:rRNA from 1 species